GUGCCCAGCAGCCGCGGUAAUACGUAGGGGGCGAGCGUUGUCCGGAGUUACUGGGCGUAAAGGGCGCGCAGGCGGCCAUUCAAGUCAUGGGUGAAAUACCGGGGCUUAACCCCGGGGGUGCCUGUGAAACUGGGUGGCUUGAGGGCCGGAGAGGACAGCGGAAUUCCCGGUGUAGCGGUGAUAUGCGUAGAUAUCGGGAGGAACACCAGUGGCGAAGGCGGCUGUCUGGACGGUACCUGACGCUCAGGCGCGAAAGCCCGGGGAGCAAACGGGAUUAGAUACCCGUGUAGUCC
rnacentral:rRNA from 1 species